CCUACGGGAGGCAGCAGUGGGGAAUAUUGGGCAAUGGGCGAAAGCCUGACCCAGCAACGCCGCGUGAAGGAAGAAGGCUUUCGGGUUGUAAACUUCUUUUGACAGGGAAGAGCAUAAGACGGUACCUGUCGAAUAAGCCACGGCUAACUACGUGCCAGCAGCCGCGGUAAUACGUAGGUGGCAAGCGUUGUCCGGAUGUACUGGGUGUAAAGGGCGUGUAGCCGGGCUGACAAGUCAGAUGUGAAAUCCGGGGGCUCAACCUCCGUACGGCUUUUGAAACUGUUGGUCUUGAGUAUCAGAGAGGCAGGCAGAAUUCCUGGUGUAGCGGUGAAAUGCGUAGAUAUUAGGAGGAACACCAGUGGCGAAGGCGGUCAGCUGGACGGCAACUGACGCUGAGGCGCGAAAGCGUGGGGAGCAAACAGGAUUAGAUACCCGAGUAGUC
rnacentral:rRNA from 1 species